UACAGAGGUCUCAAGCGUUGUUCGGAUUCAUUGGGCGUAAAGGGUGCGUAGGUGGCGCCGUAAGUCGGGUGUGAAAUUUCGGAGCUUAACUCCGAAACUGCAUUCGAUACUGCGGUGCUUGAGGACUGGAGAGGAGACUGGAAUUCAUGGUGUAGCAGUGAAAUGCGUAGAGAUCAUGAGGAAGACCAGUGGCGAAGGCGAAUCUCUGGACAGUUACUGACACUGAGGCACGAAGGCCAGGGGAGCAAACAGG
rnacentral:rRNA from 1 species